GUAACGCGUGGGAAUCUGCCCUAUAGUGGGGGAUAAGCCAGGGAAACUUGGUCUAAUACCGCAUAAUCUCUACGGAGGAAAGCGGGGGAUCUUCGGACCUCGCGCUAUUGGAAGAGCUUGCGUUAGAUUAGCUAGUUGGUGGGGUAAAGGCUCACCAAGGCGACGAUCUAUAGCUGGUCUGAGAGGAUGAUCAGCCACACUGGGACUGAGACACGGCCCAGACUCC
rnacentral:rRNA from 1 species